UGGGGAAUCUUAGACAAUGGGGGAAACCCUGAUCUAGCCAUGCCGCGUGAGUGACGACGGCCCUAGGGUCGUAAAGCUCUUUCGCCAGGGAAGAUAAUGACGGUAUCUGGUAAAGAAACCCCGGCAAACUCCGUGCCAGCAGCCGCGGUAAUACGGAGGGGCUUAGCGUUGUUCGGAAUUACUGGGCGUAAAGCGCACGUAGGCGGACCAGUCAGGCAGAGGUGAAAUCCCGGGGCUCAACCUCGGAACUGCCUUUGAUACUGCUGGUCUCGAGUUCGAGAGAGGUGAGUGGAAUUCCGAGUGUAGAGGUGAAAUUCGUAGAUAUUCGGAGGAACACCAGUGGCGAAGGCGGCUCACUGGCGCGAUACUGACGCUGAGGUGCGAAAGCGUGGGGAGCAAACAGGAUUAGAUACCCGUGUAGUCC
rnacentral:rRNA from 1 species